UACGGGGGGGGCAAGCGUUGUUCGGAAUUACUGGGCGUAAAGGGCUCGUAGGUGGCCAACUAAGUCAGACGUGAAAUCCCUCGGCUUAACCGGGGAACUGCGUCUGAUACUGGAUGGCUUGAGAUUGGGAGAGGGAUGCGGAAUUCCAGGUGUAGCGGUGAAAUGCGUAGAUAUCAGAAGGAACAUCAGUGGCGAAGGCGGCUUCCUGGACCAAUACUGACGAUCAGGUGCGAAAGCGUGGGGAGCAAACAGG
rnacentral:rRNA from 1 species